UACGGAGGGUGCAAGCGUUGUUCGGAAUUACUGGGCGUAAAGCGCGUGUAGGCGGUUGGGCAAGUCAGAUGUGAAAGCCUCUCGCUUAACGGGAGAAUGGCAUUUGAAACUACCCAGCUGGAGUUCGGGAGAGGAGAGUGGAAUUCCCGGUGUAGAGGUGAAAUUCGUAGAUAUCGGGAGGAACACCGGUGGCGAAGGCGGCUCUCUGGCCCGGUACUGACGCUGAGACGCGAAAGCGUGGGGAGCAAACAGG
rnacentral:rRNA from 1 species